GCGUAAAGAGCUCGUAGGUGGUUUGUCGCGUUGUUCGUGAAAUCUCACGGCUUAACUGUGAGCGUGCGGGCGAUACGGGCAGACUUGAGUACUGCAGGGGAGACUGGAAUUCCUGGUGUAGCGGUGGAAUGCGCAGAUAUCAGGAGGAACACCGGUGGCGAAGGCGGGUCUCUGGGCAGUAACUGACGCUGAGGAGCGAAAGCGUGGGGAGCGAACAGGAUUAGAUACCCUGGUAGUCCACGCCGUAAACGGUGGGUACUAGGUGUGGGUUUCCUUCCUUGGGAUCCGUGCCGUAGCUAACGCAUUAAGUACCCCGCCUGGGGAGUACGGCCGCAAGGCUAAAACUCAAAGAAAUUGACGGGGGCCCGCACAAGCGGCGGAGCAUGUGGAUUAAUUCGAUGCAACGCGAAGAACCUUACCUGGGUUUGACAUGCACAGGACGCCGGCAGAGAUGUCGGUUCCCUUGUGGCCUGUGUGCAGGUGGUGCAUGGCUGUCGUCAGCUCGUGUCGUGAGAUGUUGGGUUAAGUCCCGCAACGAGCGCAACCCUUGUCUCAUGUUGCCAGCGGGUAAUGCCGGGGACUCGUGAGAGACUGCCGGGGUCAACUCGGAGGAAGGUGGGGAUGACGUCAAGUCAUCAUGCCCCUUAUGUCCAGGGCUUCACACAUGCUACAAUGGCCGGUACAAAGGGCUGCGAUGCCGCGAGGUUAAGCGAAUCCUUUUAAAGCUGGUCUCAGUUCGGAUCGGGGUCUGCAACUCGACCCCGUGAAGUCGGAGUCGCUAGUAAUCGC
rnacentral:rRNA from 1 species